CUGCAACGGAGACACUCCUAUUGGUCCCUGGUUCGCUUUUCGCUCAACCGCGAUUGGUUAGGCUGACUUCUGUGUACCGCAGACUCAGCGACUGGCUGACGUCAGGUGGGAGAAGACGCGGAAGUCAGUGGCUCUCACUGACGGGCGGAAGAGUGUGGUUUUCCGGAGACUCGGCGUUCUCAACUGCCCACGCAGGCGGUGGGCCCUCUUCAGCUUUCCGGACGUGACACUGGUGCAAGCCCCAUAUACUCAUCUCGGAUGAGGUGAUCCGAGAUGAUCCCAGAUCAAGGCUGGCAGCCGCCCUUCUCUCAGUCCUCCAACCCCCUGUCCUGUGAGUGCCCGUUCCAUCCUGCCUUGUCUCUGCCUGGCCGACCACACCUCGCUGGCUGAGACCCCUUCCUCGUUUACAAGAGGUGCACAUCUCUUGCAUCCUUGCCGGCUGAGGCCCCCUUGCUGUCAAAAUAGCAGCUUUGACGUUCCAACUGAUCUGAAUUAUCAUCCCCACAUGGCGAUAACUUUUUCAGGUUGCUGAACAAAGGGGCAGAGCCAGGUCUCUUUCUGGAGAUGGAGCUGUAACUGCUGUGACCAAGGGCACACGGCUGCUCCUCUGUGAAUCUGAGAAAAUGUGAAGAAAGACAGAUUCUUCCUCACAAAGCAGCUACGGAGAUUCAGUGUGAAGUAGUAGAGAGAAACUGAGCCUGGAGCUGGGAGGGUAGUGACUGCUGGGAACCUGGGGACUGGGGAAUUCGUCCUUAGAAGGGAAUAAUAUGCAGCUGGGGAGAAAAAAAAAUAUAGAGAGACAUCUCCAGAGUGUCUAUAUAUUUCAUAAGAAAGGAGAGGAAUAAAAAGUAUGUAUUGUGUUUGGAGGAGGUUGUCAGGUGGACGUGAGCACUGGCUGACUUUCGACCUGGACCCGGACAAGUAGAGGCUGCUCACCCCUGCCCUGUCCUUGU